GACGAACGCUGGCGGCGUGCUUAACACAUGCAAGUCGAACGGAAAGGCCCUGCUUUUGUGGGGUGCUCGAGUGGCGAACGGGUGAGUAACACGUGAGUAACCUGCCCUUGACUUUGGGAUAACUUCAGGAAACUGGGGCUAAUACCGGAUAGGAGCUCCUGCUGCAUGGUGGGGGUUGGAAAGUUUCGGCGGUUGGGGAUGGACUCGCGGCUUAUCAGCUUGUUGGUGGGGUAGUGGCUUACCAAGGCUUUGACGGGUAGCCGGCCUGAGAGGGUGACCGGCCACAUUGGGACUGAGAUACGGCCCAGACUCCUACGGGAGGCAGCAGUGGGGAAUAUUGCACAAUGGGCGGAAGCCUGAUGCAGCAACGCCGCGUGAGGGAUGACGGACUUAGGGUUGUAAACCGCUUUCGCCUGUGACGAAGCGUGAGUGACGGUAAUGGGUAAAGAAGCACCGGCUAACUACGUG
rnacentral:rRNA from 1 species